UGAAACUUCUCAUAAAGUCCA
ensembl:piRNA 21ur-4719 ncRNA